rnacentral:rRNA from 1 species
GAUGAACGCUGGCGGCGUGCCUAAUACAUGCAAGUCGAGCGAACGGACGAGAAGCUUGCUUCUCUGAUGUUAGCGGCGGACGGGUGAGUAAAACGUGGAUAACCUACCUAUAAGACUGGGAUAAAUUCGGGAAACCGGAGCUAAUACCGGAUAAUAUUUUGAACCGCAUGGUUCAAAAGUGAAAGACGGUCUUGCUGUCACUUAUAGAUGGAUCCGCGCUGCAUUAGCUAGUUGGUAAGGUAACGGCUUACCAAGGCAACGAUGCAUAGCCGACCUGAGAGGGUGAUCGGCCACACUGGAACUGAGACACGGUCCAGACUCCUACGGGAGGCAGCAGUAGGGAAUCUUCCGCAAUGGGCGAAAGCCUGACGGAGCAACGCCGCGUGAGUGAUGAAGGUCUUCGGAUCGUAAAACUCUGUUAUUAGGGAAGAACAUAUGUGUAAGUAACUGUGCACAUCUUGACGGUACCUAAUCAGAAAGCCACGGCUAACUACGUG